rnacentral:rRNA from 1 species
UACGUAGGUGGCAAGCGUUGUCCGGAUUUACUGGGCAUAAAGAGCGCGCAGGCGGUCGUUCAAGUCGCGUGUGAAAGCCCCCGGCUCAACUGGGGAGGGUCACGCGAUACUGAUCGACUCGAAGGCAGGAGAGGGAAGUGGAAUUCCCGGUGUAGUGGUGAAAUGCGUAGAUAUCGGGAGGAACACCAGUGGCGAAGGCGACUUCCUGGCCUGUUCUUGACGCUGAGGCGCGAAAGCGUGGGGAGCAAACGGG